rnacentral:rRNA from 1 species
CCUACGGGAGGCAGCAGUGAGGAAUAUUGGUCAAUGGACGAGAGUCUGAACCAGCCAAGUAGCGUGAAGGAUGACUGCCCUAUGGGUUGUAAACUUCUUUUAUAUGGGAAUAAAAUGUUCCACGUGUGGGAUUUUGUAUGUACCAUAUGAAUAAGGAUCGGCUAACUCCGUGCCAGCAGCCGCGGUAAUACGGAGGAUCCGAGCGUUAUCCGGAUUUAUUGGGUUUAAAGGGAGCGUAGGUGGAGUGUUAAGUCAGUUGUGAAAGUUUGCGGCGCAACCGUAAAAUUGCAGUUGAAACUGGCAGUCUUGAGUACAGUAGAGGUGGGCGGAAUUCGUGGUGUAGCGGUGAAAUGCUUAGAUAUCACGAAGAACUCCGAUUGCGAAGGCAGUUCACUGGACUGCAACUGACACUGAGGCUCGAAAGUGUGGGUAUCAAACAGGAUUAGAUACCCCGGUAGUC